GACGAACGCUGGCGGCGUGCUUAACACAUGCAAGUCGAACGGAAAGGCCCUGCUUUUGCGGGGUGCUCGAGUGGCGAACGGGUGAGUAACACGUGAGUAACCUGUCCUUGACUUUGGGAUAACUUCUGGAAACUGGGGCUAAUACCGGAUAGGAGCUCCUGCUGCAUGGUGGGGGUUGGAAAGUUUCGGCGGUUGGGGAUGGAUUGGCGGGUUAUCCGCUUGUUGGGGGGGUAGUGGCUUACCAAGGCUUUGACGGGUAGCCGGCCUGGGCGGGUGAACGGCCACAUUGGGACGGAGAUACGGCCCAGACUCCUGCGGGAGGCAGUAGUGGGGAAUAUUGCACAAUGGGCUGAAGCCUGAUGCAACAGCGCCGCGUGCGGGAUGACGGCCUUCGGGUUAUAAACCGCUUUCGCAUGUGACGAAGCGUGAGUGACGGUAAUGGGUAAAGAAGCACCGGCUAACUACGUG
rnacentral:rRNA from 1 species